rnacentral:rRNA from 1 species
AUUGAACGCUGGCGGAAUGCUUUACACAUGCAAGUCGAACGGCAGCACGGACUUCGGUCUGGUGGCGAGUGGCGAACGGGUGAGUAAUGUAUCGGAACGUGCCCAGUCGUGGGGGAUAACGUAGUGAAAAUUACGCUAAUACCGCAUACGAUCUAUGGAUGAAAGUGGGGGAUCGCAAGACCUCGCGCGAUUGGAGCUGCCGAUAUCAGAGUAGGUAGUUGGGGGGGGAAAGGCCCACCAAGCCAACGAUCUGUAGCUGGUCUGAGAGGGCGACCAGCCACACUGGAACUGCGACACGGUCCAGACUCCUACGGGAGGCAGCAGUGAGGAAUUUUGGACAAUGGGCGAAAGCCUGAUCCAGCCAUUCCGCGUGCAGGAUGAAGGCCCUCGGGUUGUAAACUGCUUUUGUACAGAACGAAAAGGUUUCUACUAAUACUAGGAGCUCAUGACGGUACUGUAAGAAUAAGCACCGGCUAACUACGUGCCAGCCGCCGCCGUAA